rnacentral:rRNA from 1 species
UACGUAGGAUGCAAGCGUUGUCCGGAUUUACUGGGCGUAAAGAGCGCGCAGGCGGUCGAUCAAGUCGCGUGUGAAAGCCCCCGGCUCAACUGGGGAGGGUCACGCGAUACUGAUCGACUCGAAGGCAGGAGAGGGUAGUGGAAUUCCCGGUGUAGUGGUGAAAUGCGUAGAUAUCGGGAGGAACACCAGUGGCGAAGGCGACUACCUGGCCUGUUCUUGACGCUGAGGCGCGAAAGCUAGGGGAGCAAACGGG